CACACACACACACACACACACACAGUAUUUCAUAAACAUCCCAUUUUGCAACAAGCACGCAUUCAUGUCCCCAAAGGCGAGUGUUGCCAUUGUGUUUUCAUUUAGUUUUUCAUUUUCUCCAAACUCUUUUAUUCCCCCUUUGCUGACCUAAGCUUCCAUCUCGUAUUGUUGGAGAACUUUUGCCCAGAUGCUGUCCUGCUGCUCCUCUCAUCCUAUUUCAUUAGCAGACGGCCUUCGAUGAACUAAGAAGCCAGGAGCAAACUCAUUUGUUGCAGACAAUUAUAGUCAGAAAGGCAAAAAAAACCAAAAAAAAACAAACACACACAGGAAAGCUUCCUUCUUAUCUUUCCGAUGAGCGUCUGAGUGAUUCAUCUGCCUGUUUCACUGUGGAAUCAGCUGAACAAUCACUGCGGCGGGUCGACAAAUGAAAAAAAGGAUUUCAAGCUGAAAUGAAAAUGAAGUUUGACUAAGUCAUGGCUUCUGAACAAUCACGCUAAUGAAAUUAUCUUUCCAUCCAGCCUGAACAGAAAAUGCAAUUUUCUUUGUUUUCCAGUGUCCCUGGUGAACAUUUACCCAGAAUCCCCCCUGCCAACAUGGCUGGAUGCUCAGUAUUCAUUCUGAUACCUGAGUUUGAUUCUGAUUGUAAGAACAGCAGCAGAGCAGCCUCCAUGAGGCGUGCCGGUAUGGAUCAGAAACUCCUUCUGAAUCUGAAUCCUAACACAGCCAUUCCCAGCUGUUCUAUAGAGGGUUGUUUUUUUGUAUGUCUGUGUGCGCACUGUCUGCUUAUGUUGCAUGUGGGAGUGUGUGAGACAUUUACGCGCUCACGCACGCAAACACACACACACACUCGUGCACUGAGUUCAGCCGAUUUAUCAUAAUAUGCUUUAUCUGAAAAGUAAGUAUCUUACCUCGGGAUAAAGGGAGGAAAGAGGGGUUUGUGGCCAGAUUGACAGAGGAAGGGUGAACGGAUAGAGCCGAGCAGAGCGCUCGCUGCUCUGGAGCGAAGAGCUGGACUUUUAGCUCGGUGGCUGGAUUGAUCAGAACUGAGAAGGUUUCUGUUAACACAGUGAGGAUAAAGAGUUCAGCAUGGCAAUAACUUCAACAUCAACUUCAUUUUUGGCUAACAUAGAAAACCAACGGUGAAGAUCACUGUAUUGCUUUAUUUGAAACUGUGUAGCCAAGUUGGACGCAUAGGAUUAAAGCAGGGCAUUUUCAUACGACAGACUUGUUUUAUUUUUCCAGAUUUCUUUCUUUUUUUUCUUUUUUAUAUAAAUAAACAAAAAAGUAAGGCGAGACACUGAAUCCGAUUAGGAAGUUUUGCAUGUUCAGUGAGACCAGCAGGUCUCCUGGCUGCUGUCUGAUGCUCACAGAAACAGGGCUCUCGUACUAAAUCCCACCUGUGUUUGCAAACAGCAUCAUGAUCCACUCUUGGAAUACGCCUCCUCUUAUUCCUACGGCAGGUUUCAACAAGGGAUGCAGUGUGUGCAACUCUAAGUUGAUAACAAGGUUAAAAAUGAUGUUUUACUCAAUUGUUGUCAUUUAUUAAUUGCAGAAAAUGUGAAAUUUAACAAAGUGAAUCAGGAGAUGCUUAUGAUAUAUGAUUUUCUUCAUUUUCUGAUUGAACAAUAAUUGUCUAAAUGGUGAAUAUUAGCUAAUAUCAAUGAAAAUUCACUUCAUCCCUCAUUGUGCCUACUUUCACGGUUUAUAUUAUUAGACAAUAUUAGUUUGACAUUUUGUUUUGAAAAGAUAUUGAAUUGGAAGAAUCAUUUUCUUGCGAUCCCUACAUUAAGUUUGCCAAUGACUUUUUAAACAAGUAAGAUAUAAAAGCCUAAUAAAGAUGUUUAAUUUGCAACUUAGACUGUUUUUAAAUCCUGUUUUUUAAAGGUUGUGUAAAACUAAACAUGUAAUGAUACUAAUCGAAGUUGUUACCAUGUACCUUUAGCUAAAUAAAAGCUUUCCAACAUU